UGAAGAGUCUGUGCUUAGCACACUGAUGAGUCUCUGAAAUGAGACGAAACUCUUUUG
rnacentral:hammerhead_ribozyme from 1 species